UAGAAGGCGGCCUCAUCCUACCUCUCCACUUUGACUUGCAAGUUUGGGUGAAGCUUGUUGACCCUCAGGGAGCGGCUGCACAUUCAGUAUUACUCGGCAUUCAGAGAUCUGUGAUGGCACUGUGAUGUGUGGGCCUGAGACCUCUGUAGACAUCAUUGAGUACACUACGAAGAAGACCUUUCACGCUUUGUCUUCCCCCCAUAAAUAAUGUAUGGUGAUUCCAUAAGCCAAGACUGAAUAGAAAA